AUGAGUAACCAGCGUCCGGUCUCUCGCUCCUUAGGACCUUGCGUUAAGUUUUCCGCUCCCUCGUUCCGGUGGGGCGCUGCUCGUUCGGGCGCUGCCGCUCGCCCCGAGACCCGCUCUGCCGUGCCUCGCCGUGCAAGGUGCUCCCUUUCUGCCGUGUCUUUCCUUGGACUGUUUGCAAGCUCCCCGUGUGAACUUUAUUUCACCAGCAUCACCCCAAGCGUUUGCAGUUCCUUGGUCAGUUUGUUGAGUUACUGGGUCCAGUUUCAUUUAACUCUUUCCUGGUAGGUGGAAUUGAAUGGGUGGGAAAUGGGAGGGCUCAGCAGCCAGGAACUUCUCGUGAUGGUGGUGCCUUUCUGUAGAGACACAAGUUCAGCCUCUGCCUUCUCCGCUGAUGCUUCCCAUUAGGGGGGAGUUAGCGGCAGGCACAGCUCCCUCAGCUCCCAGGCAGCCUGGGGAGGCUCCCGUCCGCCCGGACAGAGCCGAGGUUUCACCUGUUGUCCUCCUCCUUUUUUAAUCCCUCUGCUUUGCAGUCCUGAAAAUUUCCAUAUAUUUCAAAUGCAGAUACCAGAGUUGGGGCCCAGAUCAACUCUAAAGUUCUGAAUGGGUGUUUAGAAAUAACGGUCUAUUCUUUUUUUAUUAUUAUUGUUAUUGUUGUUGUUAUUAUUAUUAUUAUUACUAUUUAAUGUUACUUUUUGCCUCGGGGUCCAUUUCUUCCCAAUACCCGUCUCCCAUCUUGCCACCAAGGCAGAGAAAUUGCUUUGCACACGAUUGCUGAUGUAUCGACUUGUUUUCUUCUGGCCUUCGUGCAGAUGAUGAGAGAAUGGUCCUAGCAGUGGGACUAGGGUCCUACGCCGCAGAGGGCUCCUGGCGCCCUGCAGCUGUCAGCAGAGAGAGGUUCAGGCCCUUUAAGAAUAACUUAUUUAUAAACAAAAGCAGAAGAAACAAGACAUUGCUAACGCUUAGCAACCUCUUGUCCUAGCCUGCCUUUUUGCUUGAAGUUUUAAGUCAUGUUAGCUUUAAAAGGGGUGGUUAAUUCUACAGCUUUUCUUAUCUUACGGUAUGGCAAGCAACAUUCUUAAAGUGCCACCAAAACUUAGUGACCUGGAAUGUGAACAUGGCUUUUCAAUAAGGAUGGCAAGGAAGAAAGGGUUUUAUUUGGUUCUGACACUGGUAAAACUAAGUUCCCUUCACAACCCUUGAUUUCAAUGGUUUGGAAAUUCAGCUUUACUAAUCUAGUGCAUUGUUUCCAUAAGUGUUACGAAAUUCAUUCUAUCUUAAGUGGGGGUAUAAGGAAAACCAAUUGCUUUCUUGAGAAUCACCCUUUUGUAUGUGUAUAAAACUAUAAAAUUGCACUAACUGCUAUAUUAAAAAUAAAUAAAUAAAAGCCCAACA
rnacentral:lncRNA from 1 species